rnacentral:rRNA from 1 species
AAACGCUAAAGACUAGUGUUAUUCAUCUUGAUUGGGUUUAAAGCGUACCUAGACGGUAAAAAUAAACUAACAAAUAGUAUCUUUUUACUUAGAGUUUUAUGUGAUAAAGAAUAACUCUUGAAAGAGUUGUUAAAAAUAUUAAAAAAAACAAGGGGAGUGAUAACGGGCGAAGGCUUCUUUAUAUGUAAAAACUGACGUUGAGGAACGAAGGCAUGGUUAACGAUAAGG